GGUAACUUGUUUUUAUAUAUGUUUAGUGUACUACUUUUUGAAUUGCCUAGUCAUGGCUUCUGCUUAUUUUGCUAUUAAAUUAUUUAACUUUUUACUGAUUUAUAUAAGCUUUUGCUAUCCACAUUAUAGUAAUAAGUUGUCUAAAAUUAUUUUACAUGUAUCUUCAUUCAGCUCCCAGAGUCCAUCUUCAAUGCUUUUGAUAGAAAAGGAGUUCCUCCCUUCUAAAGAUGUCUACUCUUAGUUUAAAUAUGUACCAAUUAGUAAUACACAAUUAGGGAAGUUUAAACACUGUCUAAUUAAAUUUGAUUUGGGGAAAAUAAAUGUUCUCACCUUUCCAUUUUUAUUUAACCAUGUGUAAGAAGGCAGCCUAUACAUUCUGGGGUAAAAAGUCUCUUUUUAAAAAGAGAAAAUGUAUUCUAUCAAAGAGGGUACCAAAUUCCAAGUUUGCACUGCACUUUGCUGAACACCUUGUAUUUUUUCAAGCUUAAACUUUCUAAAAGGUUAGCAGUAUUCUCUGUGAAACACAGAGCUGCUCACAUUGCAGCCCUGCUCCAAAACAUUUGGUGGUUCAUAACAGCCUGCAAAGCUGAGCCCCCAUCCAUGUUUCUAAGGCCAACAUCUCUUAACAUCCCAAAUCUAUACGACACUCCCAAAGUAUAUUCUUUUGUCAAACUCCACUUCUUGUCCUACCCUGUCCUUAAAUAAGCCUCAUAUUUUUAUACUUCAUGUCCUGUACUUAAACUGCUUUUUUGCCUAGAUGUACAUUUUUCUUUUCCCACAUUCUUCUUCUCCACAUGGAAAACGUGCACAUUUGUGAGUAUCACCUUUACUCUCUACUGCAACUUCUCACUUGCCAGUUCUCCACUUGUUCUUGCUGGUUGUAAGGCACUGAUGAAUUUUAGAACUGGAACCAUAUUAUAUCCAUCUUUGCAGUUCUAGAGCCUGGUAUCAGGUGUAGGUGUCAAGAAAUGGUUCCCAAUGGAAGCUUGCUGAUAGUGAUCUUCAACAGAUGAGACAAGAAAGGAGCCAGAAUGCUGAUUUACUAAUCCAGAUUACUUUCCACUAUUGUUUUGCUGAAACUCUCCAAUGUCAUGAGAAAAAUAACAAUGAUAAUAAUAAUACUAGUAGCAAAUACAGAAGAUAAGUCAGUUAAAAUU
rnacentral:lncRNA from 10 species